GAGCGAUAGAGGUGAGUGAGAGAGAGUGAUAGAGGUGAGUGAGAGAGAGCGAUAGAGGUGAGUGAGAGAGUUGUACAGCCAUUCUGUGGCGGGCAUGCCACAAUGUCGACCCGCCCACGCACUCGUGCGUGGAGCGAGCGAUGAAUUUAGCUUCAUCAACUCUUGACGUCUUGCUAAAUCAUUGCGCCGGCAUUAGGGCAAGCUUUAGAGUGCUUCCUCUUAUAAAUAAGUGAAUCUGCGGGUAAAUAUACUGAUGGUCCCCACAACAAGCAAUCCUUCAUUACAAUGAAGUGAUGGGAAGAUAUCGAAACGGGACAUAUAGGAAGCUGAGGGAGUAUCUAAUUCCCAGGGUAAUAUCUCUGCUGAUGUCCAAAUGGGAGAUAUGCAGAGGGAGCCACCGUCCAGAAGUGGAACCCGUCCUACUGUAAGGGUCAACAAAAAGGAUGUAUAAUUAAGUAACAGUUAAGUCACGUAAGUCAGUUUUGAUGAUGUUGGUCUGUGGAUAAACUAUGUGGAGCCCCAACCGUAAUAUAUCCGAGGAAAAUAAUUGUCAAAUAAAGAGCCAAGAAGUUUGUGACCAUUCUGUUGAGUAAGUUUUGUUCGGGUCCAGCCGGAUGCGAUGGAACAAGUACCAUAAUGUGGUAUAAGAUGUUUUAUUUUUGUGGGAGAAGAAUUUGUAUGUACAGCGGAGUGUUUCCAUCACGGACAUGUCGUUAGGAGCCACCAGGUGGCUCUGUAAGACGGAUUGGCGCGCUGCGACGCGCGCAACCCGGGUGAUAGGCGGGCUGGGCAGGUGUUUGUUUUUUACUGAAUUCAUUUUGUAUGCAACGCCGAAAGAAGUUUGGAAGUGACAUUCCCCUUUGAUCUGUAUACAUUUGUGAUAGCGGUCUGUCCAGCUGAGAGUCGGGGCGUGUGCGGCGGGCCGGCUUUCGCGACGAAGGCUUCCGGGACCCUAAGGAGGAGGUUGCCAUCUCGCCUCGUCGUGGUUGUCAUGUCGCGAAAGCAGGAGCCGCCGCACGAAGCCGCCGCCGCCGCCACUAGUUGGGAGGAGUCCCUUCUACAAGUGACGGGCGGUGUGGCGGGAGCGUAGGAGGAGUGGGAGAGGUGGAGCUGGUUAAGGGUGUUUGCAGCAGCAGCAGCAGCAGUAGCAGUAGUGCUGUGCAGCAGUGAGUGAGUAAUGUAUCGCACCAUUACUUUCAGGAAAUCUAAAAGAGUGCACUGCACGUACCCCACGCACAGUGCCGUGCAAGAGCGUUUAGUUGCGAGAGAGAGAGAGUGUGGCUGAAGGUCAUACUGUCGCGUUGGUAUCUAUUUUACUCACCAGAUGGCGCGGCGGCAGCAUCAGCAGCAGUAGCAGCGGCUACCUCGUGCCGGGUGACAUUGCACUUCUUAUCGAUUGCCUAGGCGUCCGGUCGGUUGUAUCGCGGCUAGGGGCUUUUUACCGAGUUUUAGCCGGUACGAUUCCACUGUGAAGUGUGCGUGUGUGUGUGAAAACAUACUGCGCCUAAUGCUGGGGGCCGGGACGCGUCUGGCUUCAUUGAGAAGCAAAGAGCUGUGGUGCAUGCUGCCGACGGUCGUGUGUGUGUGUGUGUGUGUGUGCCCACGCUCCAUUCCACAAUUGCCUCGAUCUGAUUUAAGUAUCAAGCACAAUUGCGUGUUUUCAACAGGUGUAUGUGAUUUGGUGUUAUUCUUGUUAUCGGCACUUAGCGAACAAGUUGUCGGCUCGAACGACAGUAUUUAUGUUCAGCAUUGUGUGGCCUACCCGAUGAAAUCCGAGGUAAUACAAGGAGAUUUUCGGUGGCGAAUGUCGUCUGUGAAAAUAUAUCACUGGUGUCUGGACUAAAUCGCGUGAAGCGCUCGUGUAUUUUUAAACCGAAGAGCUGUCGCAACAGGUUGCACUGCACGCGUCCGUAAAUGUUGUCGGCUGAGUGACGGACGACGCCGCGCUCUACAUUUGACCGUGAAAAGUAUUUUAGUACAACAAAAUCUCUACCUAGCUAGCCGUGGUCAUUUCACGAGCGCGAAGAGUCGAUGAAGAUUAACGCGAGGGGUAGACGAGCAGUGUGACGUCACGCUCAGUAACUGGUUGUUGUUGAAGCCUGUGAACAAACUAAAGGCACAAAUAAACAGUUGAAACUUUAAA